rnacentral:tRNA from 5 species
GCUCGCUUAGCUCAGUUGGUUAGAGUACUUGCAUGACAUGCAAGGUGUCGCAGGUUCGAGUCCCGCAGCGAGCACCA